rnacentral:lncRNA from 1 species
GCAUAUUGUGGAUGACACACGGCUUUCCCAAAAGCAACAAAUUCUUUUUAGCACUGAAGCUCUAUUUUUUUUUUUAGUUUUUUCUGUUAAAUUUGGUUACUUGAGGUGUUAAAGUACUAAGUUUAGCUCAUUGAUUUAAUAAUUUGUAUUUGCAGAAAGUUUUCCUUUAUCUCGAAAGCCAGAAAAGAACAACCAGUUAAAACCCAACAUCUCAACUUGCCCAACCCCCUUAGCCGGUUAGCCCUUACCCAACCCCCUUUUUUUUUUUUGGGUAUUCAACCUUCAAAUAUAUCGGAUAAUAAUUUAUAUUAAUACCCCAAAUUAUUAAAGACGCCAACUCUACAGCUGUUUUU